rnacentral:ribozyme from 1 species
CCAUUCUCGUGUUUUUUUUUUUUUUUUUUUUUUUUUUUUUUG